CCUACGGGGGGCAGCAGUAGGGAAUCUUUCACAAUGGGCGAAAGCCUGAUGGAGCAACGCCGCGUGCAGGAUGAAGGCCUUCGGGUUGUAAACUGCUUUUAUAAGCGAGAAAUAUGAUGGUAACUUAUGAAUAAGGAUCGGCUAACUACGUGCCAGCAGCCGCGGUCAUACGUAGGAUCCGAGCAUUAUCCGGAGUGACUGGGGGUAAAGAGUUGCGUAGGUGGCAUAAUAAGUAGCUAGGGAAAUCUGGUGGCUCAACCAAUCAGACUAUUAGCUAAACUGUUAAGCUCGAGACCGUUAGGGGUAACUGGAAUUUCUAGUGUAGGAGUGAAAUCCGUAGAUAUUAGAAGGAACACCAAUAGCGUAGGCAGGUUGCUGGGACGGUUCUGACACUAAGGCACGAAAGCGUAGGGAGCAAACGGGAUUAGAUACCCUGGUAGUC
rnacentral:rRNA from 1 species